GAAGACUUUGAUCCUGGCUCAGAUUGAACGCUGGCGGCAUGCCUUACACAUGCAAGUCGAACGGCAGCACGGAGCUUGCUCUGGUGGCGAGUGGCGAACGGGUGAGUAAUAUAUCGGAACGUACCCUGGAGUGGGGGAUAACGUAGCGAAAGUUACGCUAAUACCGCAUACGAUCUAAGGAUGAAAGUGGGGGAUCGCAAGACCUCAUGCUCGUGGAGCGGCCGAUAUCUGAUUAGCUAGUUGGUAGGGUAAAAG
rnacentral:rRNA from 1 species